GUGAAAACUACGACUUUUGCCGAUGUUUCCAACAUCGGCAAUGUUGGGGUGAUGUAAUACCGAGUAAGAAUUACGCCCCUUAUUGUAAACAAUCAUGGCGACUGGCAGACAGCUGUGGUCGAUUCAAAAAGGUGAAAGACCGGUAAUCACACCAAAAUAUUAAAAUCAAACGUGCUCAUCCACCACAACUACCCAGCUUGCCAUGUUUACUUUGGUGAUCCUUGCAAGGACGACGACUGUCCUCUUUUUCGAAACACCAAACUCGGCAAAUACGCAAGCAGAGAUGGAAGGAAGAGCGAAGGAUGGUCGAGCUCGGGGAACUUCUCUCCAAUCUCGUCGCUUGCAAAUUGGGCCCUAUUCCAUUAACGUAUGGGAAUAUUGUCGGCGAGAUGAGGAAAGGACUUAGCGGCUGUUUGUGCGUGAAAUGUCAGACAAUGUGGGCAAAUAAACAUGGUUCCAUACGGGAAGACGCACAGGGAGAAGAAGGGGAAGUCAGGGAUGCCAUGUUUUGUUAUCAACACAAAGCUUGGAACAGCUAUGAUCGAUAGCGUUGGGGGACCAGACAGGAUGAAUAAUCUCCUUUCAACAUUAAAUAUCAAACCAGAGAAGUUUAAAAAGCAUGGAACGGAGGGAUGGAGGCUAUGUUGAAGCUGUUGCCAAAGAGUCGACUCAACAGGCUGCAAAUGAUUCAUUUAGAAUGGAGAUGGAAUGAUUGAUGUCAUCCCAUUCCUCUACUGUACCAGUAGCUGAUGCUAGUUCUGAUGAUGAAAGUGGACAUUCUGACCAGACUCCUUAAGCAUCUAACAUUGAAAGUCUACCAGUCUCAUCUUCAAACAGGUGAGAAUUUUGAAAAAAUUCAACUAAUAGUUUUAUUUGAUCAUGUAGCCAAGUGCAUGAUUGAGAGUUUAACCAACUAGGCAAUCAAUCAAAAAGUUGCCAGUUCGAAUCCUAGCAAACCCACUUGAUGAUGCUUGUUGUGUCCUAAGACAAGUCACUUUAUCUGCAUUGUCUCAGCCCAGCCCAGCCCAGCCCGUUGUAUAUAGCCAUCAACUUAGACUGCAGGUUUACCUGCAAUGGUGCA